rfam:Toxocara canis scaffold392, whole genome shotgun sequence.
GCCGCCAUAGCUCAGUCGGUUAGAGCGUGGGUCUAAUAAGCAAAAGGUCGCAGGUUCGACCCCUGCUGGUGGCA